UGCUCUUUUUUUUUUGCAUACAAUGUAACUGAAUGGUGACCACGGCUGUGUCGGUUCCCAUCCUCUUUCAUUGUAUGGAAAAGAGUUGGAUUUGUGUGAACUAUCCUUUUAACAUGUAUAUUAUUCCUAUCAGACAGGAAACUGUCCUGAUGGAUACUUCUGUCCUCUUGGUACCGGACAUCCAAACUCGUUUCCAUGCCAGUCGGGUUUCUUCAGGAAUGACUCGUAUGGGCAUGGAGGAGAAGCUUGUGUGGAAUGUCCUCCUGGUCACUACUGUCCUACUCUGGCCACACACACUCCUACAGUCUGUCCACAGGUAAAUGUAACUAAUGCUGGGUACACACUACAAGAUAAUCGGGCUGAUUUUGGGCCGAUUUCUCCCCUUCCGACACUCCUAGGUAUGUCCCGAUUAUCUUGAUGGUUCUACAGAUUAUCUUAUCAGAUUUUCCUGUGGUGUGAGGUGUGUUAAGAGUGGCUGAAUCUGCUCGGAAGAACGUCGGAGGCGCCCCGAUCGCGAAUCAGAAAUCCUGAAGUGUGGGGGGAACCCCGAGGACAAACGCGCACACGCUAUGGAGAUUAUGAUGUGAAACGAAACAAUAUCCAAUCAGAAAGCGAGCUGACAGAAGACAGAAGCAUAACAAACGCAGUUAUGGCGCAACAUAAAGUUAAAUGGAUUUGGACAGCAGAGAUGGAGGAUCAACUUGACGAUUUGUGGCAACAGCACAAGUAUUUAUACAAAGUGUCUUGUAAAACAUACCAAAAUCAUUCCAAACACUAUCAACGCAAUUUCUUCCUGCAUAUCGUCCGUCAUGUUUAUUCUGAAGUCUCGAGAGAUUUUGCGAGAUUUCUCGUGUUCACAGUCGGGACUCUGGUUGAAAAUCUGUUUGUGUGUGGUGUGCUGUGUUUGUCACAUCAUGGCACACCACACACUAUAGGAGCAAAACGGUUAAAUCUCUCACACUUUGAAAAUCUUAUAAGUUUUUAAAAAUCUUUUAGUGUACCCAGCAUAAGAUUGUUGGCAUGCCAUAACAUUUUACUUUACUCUUUAACAUUAUACAUUUCCAUGAAAGAGUUUGGGGUUUCUACUGUACUGAGGGGAGCUCAGUCCCAGAGCCAUGUGAAGAGGGCACGUAUGGAUCCCGGCCAGCCUUGACUAAAGCAUCACAGUGCACCCUAUGUAGCGGAGGGAAAUACUGCACAGGACUGGGCAAAUCUGAGCCCACGGGGGACUGUGAAGGAGGAUUUUAUUGUAGACAGGGAUCUAGAAGUCCAAUUCCUCCUGAUGGUCGUAAAGGGGGGGUGUGUCCUGCUGGAAGUUUCUGCCCACCGGGCUCAGUUCACCCGCAGCCGUGCCCUUCAGGAACAUACAGUAACAGCACGGGUCUUCAACAUGCAGAGCAGUGUGUCCGCUGUCCUCCAGGUUAUUAUUGUUUAGGAACAAACUCUACAUCCCCUUCUGGUCCGUGCUCUGCGGGGUAUUACUGCAGAGGAGGUUCAGCCACACCAGUCCAACAUGAAGCUGAGGAGGGACACUACUCUUUAGAAGGAGCUGUGAGGACUGAACCGUGCCCACUGGGAACUUUCCAACCAGGAAGAGGCUACAACUCCUGUAUCGAGUGCCAAUCAGGAAGACUUUGCAACAGGACAGGCCUGUCCCAGCAGCCCCUGUGUCCACCUGGACACUUCUGCCCUGCUGGCUCCUUAAUUGCUCACCCAUGCCCUCCUGGUACAUACACUGCAAGUUCAGGAGCGGAGGAUCUGCAGCACUGUGGCCCAUGUGAUGCUGGUCAGUACUGCCACGCUCCUGGACUAACUGCUCCUCAGGGACCCUGUGAGCCUGGUUUUUACUGCACUGGUGGAUCCCACAUUGCCACUCCGAUUAGCUCCAGAUAUGGUGACAUAUGCCCCAUGGGUUAUUACUGUCCAGCAGGCACCAGACACCCUCAUGAGUACCCCUGUCCUCCUGGAACCUGGAGUAAUGCACUGGGGUCCCAGACUGUGUCAUCCUGUUGGCUCUGCCCUGCUGGAUUCUUCUGCAACAGCUCUGGCCUCAUUCAGCCCACUGGAAUAUGUGCUCCAGGGUUUUAUUGUGCAGGUGGCGCUAAAACGGCCAUGCCUGAUGAUGGGGUAACAGGAAACAGGUGUCCGGCGCGGUAUUACUGUCCACAGGGUUGUACAUCCCCUCUACACUGCCCCGAUGGAACACAUUCAAAUACCACAGGUGCUGCAGAAUGCAGUGACUGUCCCACUGGAUGGCUGUGUUUGGAGGGGGAGGAGCUCCAGUUGUGUCCAGAAGGACAUUACUGUCUGGGGGGCACAGUGGAGGACAUCCUCCCUUGCCCUCCAGGCACAUACAGCCCCAAAGCAGGACAAAGCCAAGUAGAGCAGUGUUUACUGUGCUCAGCUGGUGAGAGCAGUGCCCCUGCUUUACUUACACCUUUGGCAGUUUUAAUAGCACUGGUGUAGUGUAAUGUUCAUCAUACACACCUAUCAUUUUAAGGAAUGUAUUGUGAAGACUGGGGACUAGUUGAACCUACUGGUCCCUGCCAGG